rnacentral:rRNA from 1 species
GAGUUUGAUCUUGGCUCAGAUUGAACGCUGGCGGCAUGCCUUACACAUGCAAGUCGAACGGCAGCACGGGAGCUUGCUCCUGGUGGCGAGUGGCGAACGGGUGAGUAAUGCAUCGGAACGUAUCCUGGAGUGGGGGAUAACGUAGCGAAAGUUACGCUAAUACCGCAUAUUCUGUGAGCAGGAAAGCGGGGGACCUUCGGGCCUCGCGCUCUUGGAGCGGCCGAUGUCGGAUUAGCUAGUUGGUGAGGUAAAGGCUCACCAAGGCGACGAUCCGUAGCAGGUCUGAGAGGAUGAUCUGCCACACUGGAACUGAGACACGGUCCAGACUCCUACGGGAGGCAGCAGUGGGAAUUUUGGACAAUGGGGGCAACCCUGAUCCAGCCAUGCCGCGUGAGUGAAGAAGGCCUCGGU